rnacentral:rRNA from 1 species
GACGAACGCUGGCGGCGUGCUUAACACAUGCAAGUCGAACGGUGAAGCGCCUUCCUUUUUGGUGGGUGUGGAUGAGUGGCGAACGGGUGAGUAACACGUGAGUAACCUGCCCCCUUCUUCUGGAUAACCGCAUGAAAGUGUGGCUAAUACGGGAUAUUCUGGGUCUGUCGCAUGAUGGGUCUGGGAAAGAUAUUGUUUCGGUGGGGGAUGGGCUCGCGGCCUAUCAGCUUGUUGGUGGGGUGAUGGCCUACCAAGGCGGUGACGGGUAGCCGGCCUGAGAGGGUGGACGGUCACACUGGGACUGAGACACCGACCCGACUCCUACGGGAGGCAGCAGGGGGGAAUAUUGCACAAUGGGCGCAAGCCUGAUGCAGCGACGCCGCGUGAGGGAUGGAGGCCUUCGGGUUGUGAACCUCUUUCGCCAGUGAAGCAGGCCUGCCUCGUUUGUGGGUGGGUUGACGGUAGCUGGAUAAGAAGCGCCGGCUAACUACGUG